rnacentral:rRNA from 1 species
UACGGAGGGUGCGAGCGUUGUCCGGAAUUACUGGGCGUAAAGGGCGCGUAGGCGGAUACUUAAGUCGGGGGUGAAAGCCCAGGGCUCAACCCUGGAAUAGCCUUCGAUACUGGGUAUCUUGAGUUCGGGAGAGGUGAGUGGAACUCCGAGUGUAGAGGUGAAAUUCGUAGAUAUUCGGAAGAACACCAGUGGCGAAGGCGACUCACUGGCCCGAUACUGACGCUGAGGCGCGAAAGCGUGGAGAGCAAACAGG